CGAAAGAUACCAAAGGGACAGUCAAACUCAUAAAUCUAAAACAAACUGACAACGCCAUGGCUAAAAAUGAAAAAGACAAACAGGAAAACAAUAUUACACACGACACAACAUAGAAAACUAAAGAAUAAACAACACGAACCCCACCAAAAACUAGGGGUGAUCUCAGGUGCUCCGGAAGGGUAAGCAGAUCCUGCUCCAUAUGUGGCACCCGUCGUGUUGCUUAUGUGAUUACAAAUCCGGUAAAUAGUCUAAUUUGGUAGGUCAUAUUCAUGAAAGGGAAGGGGAUUGUAGUUACGACGUAAUGAACAUAUUCGAUAUCAUUUGUGAAACGGUUAUUCCAUAACGGUCAACCAACUCGUGAUGGCGUCCGUAAAAUUUACGAAGGGAUGAUUUCAAUUUCACCAUUUGGAACUCUUGGUUUAAUAGCUUCCUUGUGAGCAGC
rnacentral:lncRNA from 1 species